rnacentral:rRNA from 1 species
UACGGAGGGUGCGAGCGUUAUCCGGAAUUACUGGGUUUAAAGGGUGCGUAGGCGGCGCUGUAAGUCAGGAGUGAAAGUUUGCGGCUCAACCGUAAAAUUGCUUUUGAUACUGCGGUGCUGGAAUUAGGAUGAGGUCAGCGGAAUGUGGCAUGUAGCGGUGAAAUGCAUAGAUAUGCCAUAGGACACCAAUUGCGAAGGCAGCUGGCUAGACCUGGAUUGACGCUGAGGCACGAAAGCGUGGGGAGCGAACAGG